CGUAGGGUGCAAGCGUUAUCCGGAAUUAUUGGGCGUAAAGAGCUCGUAGGCGGUCUGUCGCGUCUGCUGUGAAAUCCCGAGGCUCAACCUCGGGCUUGCAGUGGGUACGGGCAGACUAGAGUGCGGUAGGGGAGAUUGGAAUUCCUGGUGUAGCGGUGGAAUGCGCAGAUAUCAGGAGGAACACCGAUGGCGAAGGCAGAUCUCUGGGCCGUAACUGACGCUGAGGAGCGAAAGGGUGGGGAGCAAACAGGCUUAGAUACCCUGGUAGUCCACCCCGUAAACGUUGGGAACUAGUUGUGGGGUCCUUUCCACGGAUUCCGUGACGCAGCUAACGCAUUAAGUUCCCCGCCUGGGGAGUACGGCCGCAAGGCUAAAACUCA
rnacentral:rRNA from 1 species